rnacentral:rRNA from 1 species
GACAGAGGGUGCAAACGUUGUUCGGAAUUACUGGGCGUAAGCGCGUGUAGGCUGCUUCGCAAGUCGGAUGUGAAAGCCCUGGGGCUCAACCCCAGAAAGUGCAUUCGAAAACUGCAGAGCUGGAGUCCUGGAGAGGAAGGGCGGAAUUCUCGGUGUAGAGGUGAAAUUCGUAGAUAUCGAGAGGAACACCGGUGGCGAAGGGCGGCCCUUCUGGGACAGUGACUGACGCUGAGACGCGAAAGCGUGGGGAGCAAGCAGG